rnacentral:rRNA from 1 species
UACGUAGGGUGCGAGCGUUGUCCGGAAUUAUUGGGCGUAAAGGGCUCGUAGGCGGUCUGUCACGUCGAAAGUGAAAACUCAGGGUUCAACCCUGAGCCUGCUUCCGAUACGGGCAGACUAGAGGUAUGCAGGGGAGAAUGGAAUUCCUGGUGUAGCGGUGAAAUGCGCAGAUAUCAGGAGGAACACCAGUGGCGAAGGCGGUUCUCUGGGCAUUACCUGACGCUGAGGAGCGAAAGUGUGGGGAGCGAACAGG